AACGACCGCUGGCGGCAGGCCUAAAACAUGCAAGUCGAACGCCCUAGCAAUAGGGAGUGGCGGACGGGUGAGUAACACGUGGGAACGUACCUUUUGGUUCGGAACAACUCAGGGAAACUUGAGCUAAUACCGGAUGAGCCCUUAGGGGGAAAGAUUUAUCGCCGAAAGAGCGGCCCGCGUUAGAUUAGCUAGUUGGUGAGGUAAAGGCUCACCAAGGCUACGAUCUAUAGCUGGUCUGAGAGGAUGAUCAGCCACACUGGGACUGAGACACGGCCCAGACUCCUACGGGAGGCAGCAGUGGGGAAUCUUGCGCAAUGGGCGAAAGCCUGACGCAGCCAUGCCGCGUGAAUGAUGAAGGUCUUAGGAUUGUAAAAUUCUUUUACCAGGGACGAUAAUGACUGUACCUGGAGAAAAAGCCCCGGCUAACUUCGUGCCAGCCGCCGCGGUAACAC
rnacentral:rRNA from 1 species